UACGUAGGGUGCAAGCGUUGUCCGGAAUUAUUGGGCGUAAAGAGCUCGUAGGCGGUGUGUCGCGUCGGCCGUGAAAACUUGCAGCUUAACUGUGGGCGUGCGGUCGAUACGGGCAUCACUGGAGUUCGGCAGGGGAGACUGGAAUUCCUGGUGUAGCGGUGAAAUGCGCAGAUAUCAGGAGGAACACCGGUGGCGAAGGCGGGUCUCUGGGCCGAUACUGACGCUGGAGGAGCGAAAGAGCCGUGGGGAGCGAACAGG
rnacentral:rRNA from 1 species